rnacentral:rRNA from 1 species
UGCACAAGGGAGCUUGACUGUGAGACUGACAGGUCGAGCAGGGACGAAAGUCGGGACUAGUGAUCCGGCAGUGGCUUGUGGAAGCGCUGUCGCUCAACGGAUAAAAGGUACCUCGGGGAUAACAGGCUGAUCUUGCCCAAGAGUCCAUAUCGACGGCAUGGUUUGGCACCUCGAUGUCGGCUCGUCGCAUCCUGGGGCUGGAGUAGGUCCCAAGGGUUGGGCUGUUCGCCCAUUAAAGCGGUACGCGAGCUGGGUUUAGAACGUCGUGAGACAGUUCGGUCCCUAUCCGCUGCGCGCGUAGGAAGUUUGAGAGGAUCUGACCCUAGUACGAGAGGACCGGGUUGGACGAACCUCUGGUGUGUCAGUUGUUCCGCCAGGAGCACCGCUGAUUAGCUACGUUCGGGAUGGAUAACCGCUGAAAGCAUCUAAGCGGGAAGCCGGCCUCAAGAUGAGACUUCCAUACCUUCGGGUGAGAGGCUCCCAGCCAGACUACUGGGUUGAUAGGCCAGAUGUGGAAGUGCAGCAAUGCAUGCAGCUGACUGGUACUAAUAAGCCGAUGACUUGAUAAC